rnacentral:rRNA from 1 species
UUUGACGUUACCUACACGAAGAAGACACCGGCUAACUCCGUGCCAGCAGCCGCGGUAAUACGGAGGGUGCGAGCGUUAAUCGGAAUUACUGGGCGUAAAGCGCAUGCAGGCGGCCUGUUAAGUCAGAUGUGAAAGCCCGGGGCGUUAACCUCGGAAUUGCAUUUGAAACUGGCAGGCUAGAGUCUUGUAGAGGGGGGUAGGAAGUUUCUAGGUGUAGCGGUGAAAUAGCGUAGAGAUCUCGAAGGAAUACCAGUGGCGAAGGCGGCCCCCUCGGACAAAGACUGACGCUCACGAUGCGAAAGCGUGGGGACGCAAACAGGAUUAGAUACCCCUGGUAG